CGUCUCCAACCUCGGGAAAGGAGAGAUCUACUUCAUCCCGAUUUCACUCAGUUACUUGAAUUUAAAUUUUCUAGAUGUCAUGGUGGGAUUUGAAUUCAUAUCUUUGGAUCAAUAGGUAAAAUUUGGUGCUGCACACCAUAUGACAUCGUUAACUGCGUGACUGAGGACAGACAAACGUCAACUGCACAAAGGAGAAUAGCACCCAGAAGUGUUUGUGCUAAUUAUCCCGAUGUCACUAGUCAACCCUGAAAUGAGAAAAAUGGGUCCAAUUUCUAGGAUCCAAUAGCCCAACGUGAACUUACUGCAUGCAGGCAUGAGCCACUUCAUUUGCUGAGGAGUAGCAGGUGGAACUGAACAUUGUGCAAUCAAGAACAAACAUUAUUAUAGGAGGAAGGUCAUUGACAAUGCAGCUGGAGAUGAUUGGAUCCAGGACAUUCUUCAGAGGACCUCCUACAGUGACAGCCUGCAGCUGGGAUGAUUGACCUCCAACAACUGCAGCUAUGUUUGUUUGUUUGAGGUAUGACUCCGCCAUUGGACUGAUUUCCCUUUGAUCACGAUUGACUUCAGUUUUACCAGGGCACUGUAAUGCCACACUCAGUCAAAUGCUGGCUCAAUGUCAGAGACAGUCAGCCCUACCUCACCUCCAGUACUUGGCUCUUUGGUCCAUAUUUGGUCCCAGGCAGUGAUGAGAUCUGGAGCUGAGAAGUCCUGGGAAAACUCAAACUGAGUAUUGGUGAAUCUGAUUUUUGUAUAUUUCUCUUUUUCCUGUUUUCAGGUCUGGUCCAUUCCGGAAGGGGAAACAUUUCUGUCCUCUUCUCAGAUGGUAACUGGUCUAAUGAGUGUUUCCAGCCUUGUCUGUUUUUGUUCCAUGUUUCCAACAGUUGUAGUAUGUAAAGACACUAAUUAUGUUCACAUCUGGUGUAUACAGCAAAACAGAGCCUGACUAAACCCACUCACCACACCCAACACGUUCCAGAUGGAGCUGAAUGUACAGCAAAAACCUUAUCCAGACAUGAAUACUCCAUGGGCUCAGUAUGAAAAGGAGACACAAAGACUACAGAUGCUGGAAUCUAGAGCAACAAACUAUCUACUGGAGGAACUCAGCAGGUUGAGCAGAAUCUGUGUUGGGGAGGGGGUUGUUGAGGGGGAAGGAAUUGUCAACAUUUUGGGUCGAAACCCUGCAUCAGGGUCCUGCUCGACCUGCUGAGUUCCUGCAGCAGAUUGCUAGCUCAGUGUGAGGGUGCAUUACAAUAUCCAGUCACAUAGGUGACUGAAGUUCAUGAGAGUUGAAUUUGGCAUGAGAGAAGUCUGCUUCAGUGUGUGUCUGUGUAUCUGUGUCUCUAUAUGUGUGUGUGUGAGAGAGAGGAAAAAAAGAGAUGGUGUAUGGUGGUGUGUGUGGUGGGGAGGGGAAUGGGUGUUGGGGACUGUGCACCUCUUUCAGUUUUUGGCAGACUGUUGUGGUGUGGAGGGUGUUUGUGUGAAGUGUGUAGUGGUUGUGUGUGUGUUUGUGUAUGGGGUUUGUGUGUAUAUUUGGGGGGUUUUGUGUGUGGAUGUAUGUAUAGGGGUUUGUAGUGAGUUCUACGAGUAUGUGUAGAGUGAAUUAGAGUGGUUUAGAAAGAAUGGAUCAGACAGGGCUCUGGAGAGUUACAAGGUAGCCAGGAGGGAGCUUAAGAAUGGACUUAGGAGAGCUAGAAGGGGGCAUGAAAAGGCCUUGGCAAGUAGGAUUAAGGAAAACCCCAAGGCAUUCUACACGUAUGUGAAGAAUAGGAGGAUGACUAGAGUGAGGGUAGAACAGAUCAGGGAUAAAAGAGGAAACAUGUGCUUGGUCAGAAGAGGUAGGGGAGGUCCUUAAUGAAUACUUUGCUUCAGUAUUCACCAGUGAGAGAGACCUUGAAGUUUGUGAGGAUGCUAGGGCAUGUCAAUGUAAGGAAAGAGGAUGUGCUGGAACUUUUGAAAAACAUUAGGAUGGAUAAAUCACUGGGGCCGGAUGGGAUAUAUCCAAGGUUAUUAUGAGAAGUGAGGGAAGGAAUUGUUGCGCCUUUGCCAAUGAUGUUUGCGUCCUCACUGGCCACAGGAGUCGUGCCAGAUGAUUGGAGGGUGGCAAUUGUUGUUCCUUUGUUUAAGAAAGGGAGUAGGGAAAACCCUGGGAAUUACAGGCCAGUGAGUCUUACUUCAGUGGUCGGCAAAUUACUGGAGAAGGUUCUUAGAGACAGGAUUUAUGGGCACUUGGAGAAGCAUAGUCUGAUUAGAGACAGUCAGCAUGGCUUUGUGCCUCACGAGCCUGAUUGAAUUCUUUGAGGAUGUGACAAAACACAUUGAUGAAGGUAGAACAGUGGAUGUGGUGUACAUGGAUUGUAGUAAGGCAUUUAAUAAGGUUCCUCAUGGAAGGCUCAUUCAGAAGGUCAGGAGAUAUGGGAUCCAGUGAAACUUGGCUGUGUGGAUUCAGAAUUAGCUCGCCCAUAGAAGACAGAGGGUGGUGGUUGAUGGAACAUAUUCUGCCUGGAGGUUGGUGGUCAGUGGUGUUCCGCAGGGAUCUGUUCUGGGACCCCUGGUCUUUGUGAUUUUUAUCAAUGACUUGGAUGAGGAUGUGGAAGGGUGGAUUAAUAAGUUUGCUGAUGAUACAAAGGUUGGUGGUGUUGUAGAUAGUGUAGAAGGUUGCUGCAGAUUACAACAGGAUAUUGAUAGAAUGCAGACUUGGGCUGAGAAGUGGCAGAUGGAGUUCAACCCGGAAAGCUGUGAAGUGAUACACUUCGGGAGAUCGAAUUUGAAGGCAGAAUACAAGGUUAAUGGCAGGACUCUUAGCAGCAUGGAGGAACAGAGAGAUCUUGGGGUCCACAUCCAUAGAUCCCUCAAGGUUGCGUGCAGGUUGAUAGGGUUGUGAAGAAGGUGUAUGGUGUGUUGGCCUUCAUUAGUCGGGUAUUGAGUUCAAGAGCCACGAGGUAAUGUUGUAGUUCUAUAGAACUCUGGUUAGACCACACUUGGAAUAUUGUGUUCAGUUCUAGUUGCCUCAUUAUAAGAAGGAUGUGAAAGCUUUAGAGAGGGUGCAGAAGAGAUUUACCAGGAUGCUGUCUGGAUUGGAGAGCAUGUCUUAUGAGGAUAGGUUGAGUGAGUUAAGGCUUUUCUCUUUGGAGAGAAGGAGGCUGAGAGGUGACUUGAUAAAGGUUUACAAGAUGAUAAGAAGCAUAGAUCUAGUGGACAGUCGGGGACCUUUUCCCAGGGUGAAAAUGGCUAACACGAGGGAGCAUAAUUUUAAGGUGAUUGGAGGAAGGUAUAAGGGGGAUGUCAGAGGUAGGUUCUUUACACAAAGAGUGGUGGGUGCAUGGAACACACUGCCAGCUGAGGUUGUGGGGGCAGAUACAUUAGGGACAUUUAAGAGACUCUUAGAAAGCCAUAUGAAUGAUAGAGAAAUGGAGGGGUAUGUGGGAGGGAAGCGUUAGAUAGAUCUUAGAGCAGGAUAAAAUGUCAGCACAACAUCGUGGGCCGAAGAGCCUGUACUGUGCUGUAAUGUUCUAUGUUCUAUGAAUUGGGUAUAAGUGAGUGCCAAAGUGUGUGUGUAAGGAAGUGGUAGAGUGGUAUGUGUGUUUGGGGUGGUAGAGUGGUAUGUGUAUUUGUGUAUGGAGGGCUGUUAGUGUGUGUUUAUGGGUUGUGUUUUGUUGUGGGGGUGGCAGCCAGUGACAAGUGAUCUAGUAAUUAAGCUAUAAGACAAUAAUUUGUUAACAAAGUCAAAAUAAUUAAUGACAACAGUUUAUAUCUAGUGAAAUGCUUGAAAUAAUUUGUAGAAUUGCCGAUCUUUUUACUAUUUAAAACAUUGUCAGUUUGAAAUGCAGUAGCUAGUCCCCGUGAAAUUGUCUGCAUUUUGCUUUGAAACAUUAAUGACUGAAUUCUGGUUUCCCACUAGAAGCUGAUAAUUUUCACCACUCCCUGUUAAUUGACUCUGUAAAACAAAUUCUAGCCUGUCCUGCCAUUUUAUUGCAUAGUGUUAUCUGCAUGUUAGGAAAUAGAUACUUAAUUAAUAGGUUUUAAGA